CUCAUCCUACCUUCGUCUUUUCUCGAUUAAUUAAUGGUGAUAAGUCUUCUCCACUUCACCUGUCCUCUCUGAUUCCUCUCUCUCUCUCUCUCUCUCUCUCUCUCUCAGCGAAAAGAAAGGGGUCGCCUGAGAUCACGGACGAAGAUGGCGAAGGCCGUCGCGGUUCUCUGUAGCAGUGAUAGCGUCAAGGGCACCGUGUACUUCGCCCAGGAAGGGGAUGGUCCGACUACCGUGACUGGCACGAUUUCUGGACUCAAGCCUGGACUUCAUGGGUUCCAUGUUCAUGCUCUCGGUGACACCACCAAUGGUUGCAUGUCCACUGGGCCGCAUUUUAAUCCUGCGGGGAAGGAACAUGGAGCGCCGGACGAUGCGGGCCGCCACGCCGGCGAUCUUGGGAAUGUGACCGCCGGGGAGGAUGGUACUGUCACUUUCUCCAUCACUGAUAGCCAGAUUCCCCUCUCCGGUCCAAAUUCCAUUAUCGGGAGGGCUGUUGUGGUCCAUGCCGAUCCAGAUGAUCUUGGAAAAGUUUCUAGCCUUGUGGGAAAUGUUUCUUGUAUCUGGUAGCCUCAUCUCCAUCCAUGCCCGUGCUGCCAAUCUUGGAAAUGUUUCUUGUAUUUGACGGCCUGGUGUGCAUAAGAUGUGCUGAUUGCGGUGACCGGUGGGCAUGAGCUGAGCAAGACCACUGGGAACGCAGGCGGAAGGGUUGCCUGUGGCAUUAUUGGAUUGCAAGCUUGAUCAUCUUUUUCACCUAUUGGUUGGAUGCUGAGGUUUUGUCAUAGAGUACAUUAGAACAACUAUUUGAGUUCCAAAGAAUGUGUACUGAAACUCUCCUUUGAGACAUCCCUUUCUGCAUGCUUUAUUUGGAAACCUUUACAUUAGCUAUGAAAAAUAAAACAACUUGGGGAGAUGAAUUCACAACA